rnacentral:lncRNA from 1 species
AAUGAAAUUUAAUGAAGAAAAAAUGAGAACAUUGCAGUGACUCAGCUUUUCUGCUUUUCCUAGUGUGUUGAGAUUAUUUUUGAAACAACUUUUCACUAUAGAACCCAUGGAACAAAGUUGAAAAACUAUCCAGAUUUCAUCUUCAGAAUCCUCCUGCUUCCUCUGAAUGUGUCUUCUUACACAUAAGAACUCCUGUCCUUGAAGUUGUUUUCCGACUGCAGUCAUCUCCUCAUACUCCUCCCAACCUGUGUAUACACAGCGUUGGUCUGCUGGCUCACUUACAACUGGAAAAACAGAACAGGCAUUAAAAGAGCUCCAGGAAUUGCCUAUAUCAAUGAAAAGAAGGAUGCUGCAUAAGGUCUGA